rnacentral:rRNA from 1 species
UAGGGAAUCUUCCGCAAUGGACGCAAGUCUGACGGAGCAACGCCGCGUGAGUGAAGAAGGAUUUCGGUUCGUAAAACUCUGUUGUUAGAGAAGAACAGCGCAUAGAGUAACUGUUAUGCGUGUGACGGUAUCUAACCAGAAAGCCACGGCUAACUACGUGCCAGCAGCCGCGGUAAUACGUAGGUGGCAAGCGUUGUCCGGAUUUAUUGGGCGUAAAGCGAGCGCAGGCGGUCAAUUAAGUCUGAUGUGAAAGCCCCCGGCUCAACCGGGGAGGGUCAUUGGAAACUGGUUGACUUGAGUGCAGAAGAGGAGAGUGGAAUUCCAAGUGUAGCGGUGAAAUGCGUGGAUAUAUGGAGGAACACCAGUGGCGAAGGCGACUCUCUGGUCUGUAACUGACGCUGAGGCUCGAAAGCGUGGGUAGCAAACAGG